rnacentral:misc_RNA from 1 species
AAAAUGCAUGUUGGCUAAGGAUUUCAAGAUUAUGCACGAAACAUAAUAAAAAAGGACUGGCGUUAAUAGUAAAAGAAACUUUAAAAAAUUGCAAAAUCCUUAAAAACCAUCAUAGACAAAUUUGAAGUUUUUAAUGUAGGACUGCCACUGAAAUUCAGUCAUGUAUGAAAGUCAGAAAACGAAGUCUCGUCCUCAGUGAUACUAAAACCUCUAAAAGCCAGUGCUCACAGGUGGGUACCGAGUAACCAAUCAACGGGAGGAUACCCAGAUAGGGUCCAAGCUACCAUACGUAGCUCGGACACUCGCUCUUGUUACUCAAACAUUUUCCCUAUUUACUCGGCCACUCUCCCUUAUUACUUGGACACUCACCCUUGUUACUUGGACACUCACCUUAAUUACUCAAACAAUCGCCCUAAUUACUCAGACAGCCACUACAAGAUAAGAAUCCCGAGGCUGAGAUUACAAUCGUAG